AUUUAAUUGCAUGACUUUAAGAUAUAGUAAUUUGAUUAGGUUUUGUUCAUCUUUUGCCUAGCCUGAGAUAUGUCAUUAUGCAUUUCUUAAAUUUUGUCUAUUUAUAGUUUGCAUACCUAAAGUCUCACAUGCAAUUGUAGUUUGCAUAACUAAAAUCUCACAUGUACCGAGUCUCACAGGCAAUGGUCCUUUUCAUGAAAUUGCUGAAGUUUAGAAGUAAUGUUUCUGUUAGAAUCCAAUAAAUAGAUAUGGGUUGUGUUUGCUCACUUUGAUGCACCCUCCGGGGACAUGACAAGCAAACCAUACACAUCGUAUCAUCUCAGUUAUAACACCUAAGGUAUUACGAAUCCCAGUUAAGAUCUUGUUUUUUCCUCACAAUUUCAUCUGAUGAGAGACUGGUGCACUGUCAGUUUUGAGGUUUGUAUUUCUGUCUUUGUAAUAAUUGCCAGUUCUUUUUCCUGUGUGUGACUUCUUGCAGGUUGGUCUGAAGUUGACUUCUAUAUUACCAUCUGACAUCUAUUAUGAUAUGGAAUAUUGUAUUGAUUACUCUACACUUCGCAAAAUACCGAAAGAUUAACGAGUUACCACGAUCUGCUGUUCUUGCGAGUCUCUCAACAUAGGCAUCUACUAUUACCAAGAGUCUACCUAGUCCUGAGCUGCACAGGCCAGAACUAGCAUUACUAGAUCUAUGCUGGCAUGUCAACUGGACUGUGCUUAGGGGCCAAACUAUCAUCAGUUAAUCUUGUCACGAGAUGGACCGUUGAUAGUAUAGGUCUGCAAGUAAAAGAAUGGAACUAAACCCAUCUAGAGACACAUGUGAGAAAAGAAUCUGCAGAGGACUUUCUGCAUCUAUUGAAAGAGUGGGAGAAGCUAUGCAAACGGUACAAUGUUGGUGACACAGAAAGAAAAACUUCAUUAUGGUCAAGGAACUCAGGAGGAAAGAAGCAAGUGAAUUCUGAAGCUCAUGAUAGAUUUGAUGGUGAACUUGAAGUAUCUAUGACCAGUUGAUAUAUGCUAUAGUGAUCCCAGUAAAACAGGGAAACAUAGUCUAUAUUUGAAGGUAAUAAAUCUAAUUUCAGUCAACUUUUGGCUAUUUUUUUUUUCUCUAAAUAAAUCCCUAGUUUUCUUGAAGUAGUAUUGAACUCAUUGCAGUUAUAGUUGCUUACUUGAUUUUAGAUAGGGUGAUAUUCAUGUCUCCGCAAGUGACUAGGUUUUGCCAUUGUUUGAAGCUCUGAUAUAUUCUUUGAUUAUACAAUUUUCUAAUUAGAAGUUGACAACUGUGGGUUAUAAAAAGGCAUGCAAGUUUGAAAAGGCUUUGUUUUCUGCCUUCAUCAGUGAAAGAGAAACGAAAGAAAAAUCAAGUGAGAUUUAAACGAAGACGGUCUUAUAAAUUAGUUUGAAAGAUUACACAAAAUAAGCAUGAACAAUUUUGACCACAUUAAAAAAAAAUGAUGUGAGUAUCCUUGAAAAUACUGUUUAUCUUUGGAAUGCUUGAGGUGGACUCUUCUUCGAAACUGGUUUGCUGACACUCUGGAAAUGGUUGGAAGAGCCCAAGGUUGCAGCAUCCUGUUUAGUCAUCAUACAAAGUCAUCACCCUUUUGAUUUCUUCCACAGACUAUCUAAUAACAAUUUUGAUGCAAUGCGAGUGAUCUUAUUGUAAAAGGGAUGUAUGUAUUUUAUUAAACAAGCAAUUUCAAUUUCAUUUUAUGCUCUCUUCUGCAUUUCUGCUGUAA